AGAAAGACAGAAUUCUAGUAACUAAUAAAUCUACAAUCAUAUAGAAAAUUUAAAAAAUCAAGAUUUGUGUAAGAGCACAUAAUAAAUUGUUAAUGCCAAUAACCAAUAAAUUAUAAGCUUUGCAACUUUUCAGAAAUUCUGAGAGCUUUGGCGUUACCGCCAAGCAGCACUGCGUGAAAGAUGAUUCUCAUUGGUCCGCUCUCAUUGUCACUCUCGAAUGUCACGUUAUAGCCGGACGUGAUCCGUGUACACACUAAGCGGGUACUCUCAAAUACCAGUUUUAUCCAGACUACCCC